ensembl:lncRNA
UUCCCAAUGGCAUCUUCAGUCUGAGAAGCAUCAAAGAGAGUGAGCAACUGUCUCGAGCCUUAGAAGGAAAAAAGGCAGGGAGAGAAGAAGGAAAAAGCAAUUCUCUUCAAGAAUUUCAUGGUGGCAUUCUCUCCAACUGCUUCUCCCAUGGACCAGAAAUCAUACCUAAUUCAGAGAGUAACUUUUGGAUGAAGGUAACCGUACAAUACAUACACAGAGAAAGAGAUUAUAUGAAAUGUUUAGAUGAAUACAUGUUAAGUAUACGUUACAUACAUGUAAGGAAAUGAAAAGUUUCCUUUUUGCACGUUUUCAAAGAAAAUGUUGCAGGUUUUUUUUUUUAUUUUCAAAGCAGAUUUUAUUCUGAAAUUUUCCUUAUUUGAUAAUGAGAAUAGAUGAAAACGUCAUCAGACACAAAACAUAAUAUUUUGGAUCCGACAGAAUAUUUCAGCUGCGUGUAUAUAAAAAGUGCCUUAUUUCAACUGCCCUGUUAAGAAAAUCAGUCUUUGGUAUGGGAAUCGUCUUCAGCACUCUAACAACGCAGAAUACUGUCCAGGAGCUUGAGGGAGAUGGAGGCAGCAGAGCCCCUGGAGCCGCAGAGCCAUUCAUGACUUUAUCACCACGAGAGCUGUGUUGGGUCGGGGAGGUCACAUUGCGCUCAGGCACUGCUUCCUGCUCCAGCUGGUGCAAGGGCACAUGGCUUGGGGCCAGAGCUUGUGCAAAGGCUUGUGAGGGAGCAGGUGGUGCCUGCGAGUUUUGCAAUCAGCUGGCAGUACAUUUUCUGUAUUUCUGUCUGAGGUUAGGACACACAAACACCCUUGCCAAUAACCCUCUCAGAGAUAUUAAUGACAAAACACUCAAAGAGAUCGUAUCUCUCUUGGGAUAUGUUAGUUCUUUUAUCUUAUUGAAAUUACUAUUAUUAUUAUUAUUAUUGAGGAAAAAAAAAGCAAGGAAAGGAAUGUCAGUGGGUUUUGUUGUUGUUUUUCUCCACUAUUUGCACAACCACUAGAGGGCUUCAUCAUGCUCUGGGUUCUGGAGCAAUUUGGUUGAAGAAUGAGCUGAAGGUUGGAUUUCUUGUCCCCAUUUCCAUUGACUGCUCCAGGAGGAAGGGGCACAUGCUGCAAGAAGGGCCCUCAGCUAAUCCAGGGCACCAGAAGGCUGCCGUGACAGCGUGUUUCUGGGGAAGGCAUUUGGAGCAACCAAAAAAGAGGGCAUCUGGGGCACGUUUCGCCUCUGUGAUGUUUUCCACCUGCCUUUCCCAUGGCAGAGAAUGGGCUGAAGUGUCCCAGCGCAGGGUAGGGUGAUAUGCACAGCUGUGGUUUUGCACAAAAAUAAAAUGCAGAGCAGUGGAACAAGCUCAGACAGGAAAUCACUUAUUUCCUUGUGCUGCUGCUAUGACAGCAAUGUUGAUGUUGGAUCUUCCCUAGGUGAAAAAUAAAAAGCAAGUUGAACCAAAAUAGGGCCUGAUUCCUGUAAGGAUGAGCCACUGCCUCCUCUGCUAGGUGGUUUUCUGCAGUCCUUGGGCAUAGAGCAUCAGCCACGCAAACUGUCAGAGGUCGAUAGUCGUACAUUUGUCAUCCGUUAUCUACAAGAUGCAUAGCUCUGAGUAGGGAAAGAUUGUGAUUUAAUCAUUUGGUUGAACGCAGUAAGGAACAAGGAGGGAUUUUCCAAUAAUACUUGAGGUGGUUUCAUUCCCAUUGCCCUUGAAACAGAGAUUUAUUUUCUUGUCACUUGAUGGCAGCUGCUUGCACUCUUAACUCCUGUGGUGCCUUGGGAAAGAGGGUAACAGUUUUUAAUGGCCAAAAAAUCUUCUCAUGUCAUUUCAUGAGGGAACACUUAGGAUUUCCUGGCACUGGAGUCUGCCCUGCUGUAGUUUUCACUGCAGCCUCUGUGCUUCCUCUGAGAAGAUGCUGUGUGCUCUCUGCUCAGCCCAUUGGCGAAAAGGACAAACCUCAUCUCAGUUCUUCUUCUCUUGCAAUUUUCUCUCACCGUGUUGCCUAAGGAAGACAAGUCAAAAAGUGCUGCUGUUUCAUCAGCCUUUUUUCCGGCACCACAGGCAAAUUUGAACUUUCCAACAAAGUCAAAGCAGGGAGUAUUUGUGAGGUUGUGUGGCAGCAGUUGGCUGCAGAGGAAAAUCAAUGCUCCCCAUCAAAACAGCUCAAUAGCCUCACGCGCACCCAUAGAGGUUUUCUUUCCAGAUGCUGUGCUUCGUCCUGCUAACAUUCCCAGUUGUCAUCAUGUCUAUGUCAUCUAUUCUGUUUAUGGAGAUCUGUAUGAGACCCGAGCUGGGCACCGCCACCUUGGAGGUUUUAAGGCCCAGGAGAACAGCGGGCUGGGCACCCUGCCCUGAUUUCCCAUGGACCUUCCCGGAGCAGAAGCUUCGAAGCAGCCUUCCAGCCCCAGCCAUUCGGUGGUUGUAUUCUCUCUUGUGCUGGGUUCCCCAGCAUGAAUCUGUACCAACUCAAAAUAUGAGUAAUUUAAAAUUAAAGU